CCUACGGGUGGCAGCAGUGAGGAAUAUUGGUCAAUGGCCGUAAGGCUGAACCAGCCAAGUCGCGUGAAGGAAGAAGGAUCUAUGGUUUGUAAACUUCUUUUACAGGGGAAUAAAGGUAUCCACGUGUGGAUAUUUGCAUGUACCCUAUGAAUAAGCAUCGGCUAACGCCGUGCCAGCCGCCGCGGUAAUACGGAGGAUGCGAGCGUUUUCCGGAUUUAUUGGGUUUAAAGGGUGCGUCGGUUGUUUUUUAAGUCAGCGGUGAAAGUUUGUGGCUCAACCAUAAAAUUGCCGUUGAAACUGGAAGACUUGAGUGUGUUUGAGGUAGGCGGAAUGCGUGGUGUAGCGGUGAAAUGCAUAGAUAUCACGCAGAACUCCGAUUGCGAAGGCAGCUUACUAAACUGUGACUGACAUUGAUGCUCGAAAGUGUGGGUAUCAAACAGGAUUAGAUACCCUAGUAGUC
rnacentral:rRNA from 1 species